UACGUAGGGGGCUAGCGUUGUCCGGAUUUAUUGGGCGUAAAGAGCGUGUAGGCGGCCAGGUAGGUCCGGUGUGAAAACUCGAGGCUUAACCUCGAGAUGUCAUCGGAAACCAUCUGGCUAGAGUCCGGAAGAGGAGAGUGGAAUUCCUGGUGUAGCGGUGAAAUGCGCAGAUAUCAGGAAGAACACCAUGCGAAAGCAGCUCUCUGGGACGGUACUGACGCUGAGACGCGAAAAGCGUGGGGGAGCGAAACAGG
rnacentral:rRNA from 1 species